AUAUUUCGCGUAAUUAUCGUUCGACCUUUGCAAACGGCGAAUAGUUGGCUGAAAAUAGUAAAACGUGGGUGUCGAUUGCAUUUUAACGAAGCGUAAUCGCGGAAUUCGCAAUAAACAGCCGGCAAAGGUGUUCAGGCGCGCGGAACUUAUCAUCGCAUAACAAUCGACUUACUGGUGCAUAGCAUGCGUGGGUCACCCGAUUCCAAUCUAAGAUUUGGCGUACAGCCGAAACUUCUCAAAGGUUAACGAUCUUCUGCUCGCAUCGAGUAAGAAAUCGAUCGAUAGCUCGCUCGUUCGCAACUUUAACUCUGCAUCUCUCCUAUCUUUGGAACUUCCAAUAUUCGUACAGUUUCUGAUUGGUAAAACAAUUCAUUGUUAUCGCCGGAACGCGUUACAAAUUGUUUUUAAAACGAUUUUUCUUCUUUCGUCCUAUCGAAAGAUUAUACGUAACACGCUAUCACUUUACGAACCCUGCUCACACGAACGCUACGAUCAGAUCUUGGAGCAAUGUGCGACAACAGAGAACAGCAUACUUUACACAAUUGCAGAUCGUAUCCAGCGGAGACGAAGCCUGUGGAUCAAAGCUAAUUCUAAUGACGCGACAAAAUUAUAGAAAAAUUUCAGCAAUUUGAACAAAGAAGUCGUUUCGUUCAAGAUGUUCGUAAGUAGAUAAAGUCAAACGGAAAUCAUGAAACAAGCGUAAGAACAGCGAGUUUUCGCAAAGCAUCAAGCAACGUGACCCAUUUGAAAGCGAAAGAAAAAAAUGCCUAUCACCGUCCCCCGGAAUGUUUCGUGCGCAGUUCGAAAGCCGUCCAAGUGGCCGAGAUUUUAUGAGAAAUUAUACAGUUAACUAGCCGAUAGCUUAGUUUCCCGAAUAUGUUACUAUCUAUAUAUUUAAUCAUUGUAUGAAAGAUACAUGUAUGAAAAUAUUAAACGAUAUAAAUAUA